GAACACUAGCGGCAGGCGUAAUACAUCCAAGUCGAACGGGAUUCGGGUAGCAAUAUUCGAUGAGAGUGGCGCACGGGUGGGUAACGGGUAUGCAACCUACCUUUGACUGGGGAAUAGCUCCCGAGAAAUCGAAAUUAAUACCCCAUUGUAUCCCUUGGCGGCAUCGCCUGGGGAUUAAAGUUCCGGCGGUCAAAGAUGGGCAUGCGUUCCAUUAGCUUGUUGGUGAGGUAACGGCUCACCAAGGCAACGAUGGCUAGGGGUUCUGAGAGGAUGAUCCCCCACACUGGUAAUGAGACACGGACCAGACUCCUACGGGAGGCAGCAGUAAGGAAUAUUGGGCAAUGGACGAAAGUCUGACCCAGCCAUGCCGCGUGCGAGGAAGACAGCCUUAUGGGUUGUAAACUGCUUUUAUCUAGGGAAUAAACACCCCGGUCAGUGUACCGGGGCUGAAGGACC
rnacentral:rRNA from 1 species